UACGUAGGGUGCGAGCGUUGUCCGGAAUUACUGGGCGUAAAGAGCUCGUAGGUGGUUUGUCGCGUUGUCCGUGAAAACUCACAGCUCAACUGUGGGCUUGCUUUCGAUACGGGCAGACUGGAGGUAUGCAGGGGAGAACGGAAUUCCUGGUGUAGCGGUGAAAUGCGCAGAUAUCAGGAGGAACACCGGUGGCGAAGGCGGUUCUCUGGGCAUGUCCUGACGCUGAGGAGCGAAAGUGUGGGGAGCGAACAGG
rnacentral:rRNA from 1 species